rnacentral:rRNA from 1 species
AUUGAACGCUGGCGGCAUGCCUUACACAUGCAAGUCGAACGGCAGCGGGGGAGAAGCUUGCUUUUCCUGCCGGCGAGUGGCGAACGGGUGAGUAAUACAUCGGAACGUGCCCUGUAGUGGGGGAUAACUAGUCGAAAGAUUAGCUAAUACCGCAUACGACCUGAGGGUGAAAGUGGGGGACCGCAAGGCCUCAUGCUAUAGGAGCGGCCGAUGUCUGAUUAGCUAGUUGGUGGGGUAAAGGCCUACCAAGGCGACGAUCAGUAGCUGGUCUGAGAGGACGAUCAGCCACACUGGGACUGCGACACGGCCCAGACUCCUACGGGAGGCAGCAGUGGGGAAUUUUGGACAAUGGGCGAAAGCCUGAUGCAGCAAUGGCGCGUGUGUGAAGAAGGCCUUCGGGUUGUAAAGCACUUUUGUCCGGAAAGAAAUGGCUCUGGUUAAUACCUGGGGUCGAUGACGGUACCGGAAGAAUAAGGACCGGCUAACUACGUGCCAGCCGCCGCGGUAA